rnacentral:antisense_RNA from 1 species
UGCCUGGAGUGAAGAUUCUGCCCAUUGGUCAAGAGACCUCCCUCUCAGAUGCUGGCUCUGCCCCUGCCUUUGGGGGUCGACCCUUGUACUCGCAGGACCUUAGGUGACUCUAUUCUACUUCUCUGAUCAUCCAGGAAGCCAACCUGCCUGAGGACGAGUCAUACUCUGUCCUCCCACCCCAGGCCAGAGAGUGGUAUCUGUCUGUCCACAAGUUGAGCUGGCCAUAAAGACAUUCUCUGACCUACUCUGUUUGAUAGUGGGUCCUCAGAUCCGCAUUCCAAAGGGAUCCUGUCCCAUACUUGGGAGCAAGAAAUGCCACACAGAGAGGCCAUGAAGAACUCAAACAGAGAGGCCUUGCUGGGUCCUUCUUUCAGUCUAUGACUCUUAGAUUACAGCCUUUUGUCCCAUCACACUUCUGCAUUCUGCACAGCCUUUGUGAAUUCUAAGUAUGCAAGUGGCCAGUUUCUUUGGAUAUCUGAGUCUUCAUUUAUGAAGACUCCAGUGUCAGGACCAUAUUGCGACUGAAACAAGGCAUAACAGGUCUUUGACUGGCUAUCCUGUGGGUGUGGACUCAGGCUAGCCUGCGCAAAGUGGUGAGCAAGGUGGUUGGGAAAAUCAAAGGAGGGGGUAAGGUAGUGGCAGGUAACUAUCGAUAAUCUGCUCUUCUUCACAGAAAGACAGGCAAUUAGAUUGAAAAAUACCUGUGAUUCAAAGAAGUCACAAGUCACAGAGACAAACUUUUCCCAGUGUGUUCGAGUCAGAGAACCUUUGCAAAGACCAACAGGCUAAAAGAGAAAAUACAAUGUCAUCUUGAUGCAGAUGAGCAGGUAACCAUGGAAGUCGUGAGCUGAGGCUGCAGAGUCUAGAGCCAGAGUGUGGAAUAAACUUGGGUCUCAAAUCACCCCUGGAGCAAAGCCCCCAUCUAAUCAGGAACUUCUACUUUCAACUUUACAUGCGUGAGAAAUGAACUUCUAUCAUGUUAGAGAAAUCCUUACACGGCGCCCUUGAGAGCUUUCAUACUGCAAGUCAU